CCUCAGAAGCUUGAAGAAAGAUUCACAAGAACACAACAAUUCAACAAGCACUCGGCUAACACUAAGUAACUCGAUAUGAAAUGGUUUGACUUUUUGACAGAAGUCGUAUUGAACACAUUAACCAUUUCAAGCAAUGUCUGUUAGAGUCUAACGAUAAUUCGACUAUGUAGUGUUUAUAUGGGUUGGAAGGGGUUUCAAAGUGUUGCAUUCACGAACCUAUUAGCUUAAGAAAAACGUUACAAAAUGUUGUAGCUGAUUGGGGUGGAGCAAUAUUGAAAUCCUGUACUUUGUUUAAACUUUGCUUAAACAUGAAAUAUCGUUUUUUGCUGUAACAUAAAAUGGCAGAAUUUGUGUUGAACAAAACAAUAAAAAUAAAAAGUUGUUAACCAAAAAUUAAUCUCAAGACUAAGAUAGCCUACUACCUCUCAGACUUAUGAUCAGUGAAAUGUAAUGAAACUAAAGUCAAAUCAAAAGAACAUAUUUUGACCGGAUGAAAUCAAUGUUAAGUAAGCAUUUUGACUUCUUCAAAAUCCCCCCCAAAAUAAUUGUAGCUUUAAAUUAACAUUUACUUUCAAGAUUUUCCCAUAUAUAGCAGGAGAAACAUUUGGCUCCCACAAGACAUUUUUUCAAAAACUCAAAGGUGCAAAGGUGGUCAAUUGGCACCCCAAGAGUGAUGUCGUUAUCAUCUUCUGUUCCAUCGUCAGCCACUUUGAGAGUGACGUUUUGUCAGCUCUGGCCAGCGCCUCAGAACAAGGAAUCAGGAAAGUCAUUCUUGUGGCCAUGCAUCACAGUUUUGAUCAGAACUACGCUUUACCAGAACACAGAGUGUACCAACACCCGAACAUUCGGCUCCUCGUGGACUGUCUCUAUUUGAGGCUGAAGCCUUCCUGGUGCACAUUAUGCUGUUGCUGCUGCUAAAGAUGGCUUCCAGGAUCAAGCUAGACCAAAAAAAAGAAAAUUAAAAAAACAUCAACAACUUAAUCAAAUCAGGAAAUUGCGAUCAUGACAGAAAGAAGCUCAGGAAAAUGAAGGAUUUCUCAGAAUGAACACUAUGAUAAUCAAACAAAUCAUUUCUCAUAUUAUUAUUAUUAUUAUUUUUGACUUUUUUGGCUUUAAUGGAGAGACAGGACAUUGUAUAGAGUUGGAA